rnacentral:rRNA from 1 species
UACGUAGGCAGCAAGCGUUUGUUCGGAGUUACUGGGCGUAAAGAGUGUGUAGGCGGUUUGCCAAGUUUGGUGUGAAAUCUCCCGGCUUAACUGGGAGGGUGCGCCGAAUACUGGCAGGCUAGAGUAUGGGAGAGGGAAGCGGAAUUCCUGGUGUAGCGGUGAAAUGCGUAGAUAUCAGGAGGAACACCUGCGGUGUAGACGGCUUACUGGACCGGCCCUGACGCUGAGGCGCGAAAGCUAGGGGAGCAAACAGG